rnacentral:rRNA from 1 species
UACGUAGGGAGCGAGCGUUAUCCGGAAUUAUUGGGUGUAAAGGGUGCGUAGACGGGCCAGCAAGUUAGUUGUGAAAUCCCUCGGCUUAACUGAGGAACUGCAGCUAAAACUACUAGUCUUGAGUAUUGGAGAGGAAAGUGGAAUUCCUAGUGUAGCGGUGAAAUGCGUAGAUAUUAGGAGGAACACCAGUGGCGAAGGCGACUUUCUGGACAAUUACUGACGUUGAGGCACGAAAGUGUGGGGAGCAAAC